GUGCAAUCGUAACAUGUCGAAUAAGAUUACUUGCCAUGAAAAUUUUGAAUUCUGAUGAGGUAAAUUGUGUUCCAUUAUCAGACACAAUUGUAUCUGGCAACCCAUGUGUAGCAAACAUCCUCCUUAGAAUCUUUAUGACUGUGACUGAGGUAGCAGAUGUAACUGAAACAACUUCUAACCAUCUUGAAAAGGAGUCAACAACUAAAAAAAACAUCUGUCCGUG